AUCUGUAGAAGGAGGAUGCUUAUUUAGUCAGAUAUGACCAGACACUUUCCAAAAUAAGGCUGAUUUAUGGAGCCAGUGCUUACAAGCUCCUCUUGGAAAAACUGUCCUGACACCUGGCUGCACAGGGUGCCCAGACUCACAGGGGAGUCAGGAGGUGACUUCCAGGAAUCUUAGGCUACCUGGGGGACCUCAAGAAGAAGGAAGGUCCUGCCAGUCAAUAGGUUCUGCAGGUGAAUGUGAUAGGGAGCUCUGGGUUUGGCUUCUCACCCUCAAGAGGCUUUGCAAAGUGCAUUUGAGAUUCUUCCUGAAAACUUCCAGCAGAGCAAAUGGAAGAAGAUCUACAUGUAAAUCGCCGUUCUUGCUGCAUCUCUGUGAAGAGCCAGGGCAGAUGUCAUGAGACCAGCUCUCUUGGGUGAUCAAGAAUAAUCUUUCCUUAAGAUUGUCUUUGAUCAGAAGUGGGGAGAGACUGUAGAAGGAAAUUUUGUCUUUCAGUGGGGAACUCUAGCACUGGCUCCAUAAAUCAGCCUUAUUUUGGAAAGUGUCUGGUCAUAUCUGACUAAAUAAGCAUCCUCCUUCUACAGAUAUCCCAGGCAAGACUUUGAUUGUCUUACCAUUGUUUCUAAUGCUGUCCUGUUAACAAGGAGGACAGACUGUCUAUGCAAAUCUAUGCAAAUCAAUGUAUUGCCAGAAAAAAAGAAAAUUCAGUAAGAAUUUUGGAAAGGCAAGUCAGAAAGAAAAAGAUAAAUGUUUCAUUUUUCAUUAUAAGAAUGAAAUGUUCAUUUUUCAUUAUUGGAUUCUGGUUGCGUUCAUUUGUGUUGGAGCUAUUUUGAACCUCUUUGUAAACUGCAUGCAACUGGUGGAUAUGCAAACUCUGUCUUGUCUGGUUGCCAAACUUUAUAUUUCAUUAUGAAAAAUGAAGUUUGGUACUUCUCUCCAAAUUUGACAGGAUCUUCUCCUGUUGAAUCUGUUACCAGAAUUUCUAUUCUUCCAGAUCUGCCUAUAAACUAAUAUACUACCUUUCAUUUUUUUUCCUUUCUCAUUCUUGCAGUCAUUGAUUCCUAACCCUAAGCCUGGGUCCUUUCUAGAACUAUAGGUUGUCUUGUAGCUGUUCUUUUUUUCCCUAGAAUUUGAAGAAUCACCCGUAGCUUCAAGCCACAGUCUACUUCUGAGUCUAAAAGAUUUAUCAUCCUAAUGAUGGUUCUCUCUCACCUUGGAAAAGCUACUGUCUGGACUACUAAUAAAGUCCAGUGAAUUUAUCAGGUCAUGCAUUACUUUACUGGAGAAGUAACCAACAUGGUGGAUGGCAUUACCAAUGUAUCAACGUCUUUGCUUCAAAAAACUGGCUGCUUUCUUCUGCCACACACUUCUUCCAUGAUGUUCUGCCACACCUUGGGCCUAGAGGAAUGGAGUCUGCCAUCUAAGGAUUAAGACUUUUUCUUGGAGGUUCCAUCAAGAUAUGGUUGGCACUGCCCAUCAUCUCAGAGCCCAGCCAUCAAUCAACUGUGGGAUGCCUCAUGCUUUGCUGCUUCCUGCACCGUGAUGUGAUCAAGCAGUGCCAGUUCUGAACUCUGCUCUCUUCUUGUUAAGCAUCAAUAUUUCAUCAUUGGAAGAUAUUUAAGAGAAAAGCUGCCCUUGGUUUCAUUGGAAGACACCUUAUCAGCAUACUUGUUUAAGACAUCUGCACUCCAGGAUUCUAAAACAACUGACCUUUGCUGUCACCUCUCACGAAGUGGCUCAAUUUAUUUUACAGAAACACCACCACCAAGAGCCCUAGCAUGACUAGUUAUUAAAACCUUCUUCAUCUCACUCAGGAGAUUUAUGAUUGUCUCUAAGUUGUUCAACAACUAUUAUAUCCAUUCAUCUUGAACAAAAGGAGGACCGACAAUGUUGAACUUUACCUGAGAUCUGUUUCUGGGAAACAGUGAGGUUUAAGAAAUAUAUGCCCAUCAUUGUACUCUAAGAAAAGACUUCAAUUAAAUAUCCUUCUCCAUAAAACUGA